rnacentral:rRNA from 1 species
UACGAAGGGGGCUAGCGUUGCUCGGAAUCACUAGGCGUAAAGGGUGCGUAGGCGGGUCUUUAAGUCAGGGGUGAAAUCCUGGAGCUCAACUCCAGAACUGCCUUUGAUACUGAAGAUCUUGAGUUCGGGAGAGGUGAAUGGAACUGCGAGUGUAGAGGUGAAAUUCGUAGAUAUUCGCAAGAACACCAGUGGCGAAGGCGGCUCACUGGCCCGAUACUGACGCUGAGGCACGAAAGCGUGGGGAGCAAACAGG